rnacentral:lncRNA from 1 species
GCUUAACAAGAUAGCCCCCCAUCCUCUCCACAAGGACCUCUCUGCAAUCUCAUGCAGCGUGUUUGACGUUCCGAAACAAUCACAAAGUUUUCUCAUCUCUAAUGACUCUCCAGGACUGUGAGAACUCAGGAAAAUAAACAGGAACUGUUAAAGAUGUACCUGGAGCUUCUCAGGGGCUGCUUCACUGGCUCCGUCCAGCUCUCAAGUGCGCUGGAAUUCUUCCUUUUAAGGACAGUGACAUCCGAUCUGUGAAGGCCAUGGUGCCCUGCACAGGGAAGCCACAGCAGGGAGGACGAGGUCAAUAUUGCCCUCAUCAGGAGCAGCUCUGCAAUGGAAGGUUUCAAUUACCAUCCAAUGGAUUAAAGAGCAGGGAUGCAGUCAGGCUGGAGAGAGAACUUCUAUUUUCACAAACAAAUGAACAAAACAGCAAAAAUAAUAGAGAAAUCAUUAUUCUCCAUCUAAACUGGAAGCCCGAACAAACCCUCGCUGGCUUAACAUGCAGAUUCUGGCUUGACCCCCACAUGCUUCCUUGAUGUCCUUUCCACACAGCCAGGAGACGCUUUCUGUUUCAGUGUGUGACAGCUGUAGGGACUUUUCCAGUUGUCCCAUGACUCUUGGGGACCCUUGCCCUCUCAUUUGGCUUUUAGUUGGGCAGGCUGUGGUCUGUUCGAUUUAGCUACGGGAAGCCGCCCCACUGGACUUCAUUUGGUGGGAGAACUCCUGGACCUAGGAAAGGGAGCUGCUGUAGUUGCCUCUGAAUGGACUCUGGACUUUGGAACUUCCUGGAUGACACAGUUGCUUACCUUCUUGUUAUCAAUCUGAAAACCUAGUGAAGCGAUACAUUUCUAGUCCGCUGACUGUCUCAUGACCAUCUUGUAGGUGUUAGGCAAAUCUCAGUCCAGAAGGACUGUAAAAGUUGUUGACUGGACUCUGUCUCAGGAAAAGUUUAGCACGUCCUGGCAACCUUUAUGCUUACACCACCUACUCUGAGAGGUCAAGGGUGUUGUGUAGAAUAAUAACAUUCUCAAAACUGACUCAUGAAGCAGGCUGUGAGUAGUCGACUCAUCCCUGGUCUAACAGAGAGG